rnacentral:rRNA from 1 species
GAGUUUGAUCCUGGCUCAGAGCGAACGCUGGCGGCAGGCUUAACACAUGCAAGUCGAGCGGGCGUAGCAAUACGUCAGCGGCAGACGGGUGAGUAACGCGUGGGAACGUACCUUUUGGUUCGGAACAACACAGGGAAACUUGUGCUAAUACCGGAUAAGCCCUUACGGGGAAAGAUUUAUCGCCAAAAGAUCGGCCCGCCUCUGAUUAGCUAGUUGGUGAGGUAACGGCUCACCAAGGCGACGAUCAGUAGCUGGUCUGAGAGGAUGAUCAGCCACAUUGGGACUGAGACACGGCCCAAACUCCUACGGGAGGCAGCAGUGGGGAAUAUUGGACAAUGGGCGCAAGCCUGAUCCAGCCAUGCCGCGUGAGUGAUGAAGGCCCUAGGGUUGUAAAGCUCUUUUGUGCGGGAAGAUAAUGACGGUACCGCAAGAAUAAGCCCCGGCUAACUUCGUGCCAGCCGCCGCAGUAAG